rnacentral:rRNA from 1 species
UACGAAGGGGGCUAGCGUUGCUCGGAAUCACUGGGCGUAAAGCGCACGUAGGCGGGUUCUUAAGUCAGAGGUGAAAUCCUGGAGCUCAACUCCAGAACUGCCUUUGAUACUGAGGAUCUCGAGUUCGGGAGAGGUGAGUGGAACUGCGAGUGUAGAGGUGAAAUUCGUAGAUAUUCGCAAGAACACCAGUGGCGAAGGCGGCUCACUGGCCCGGUACUGACGCUGAGGUGCGAAAGCGUGGGGAGCAAACAGG